GACGAACGCUGGCGGCGUGCUUAACACAUGCAAGUCGAACGGAAAGGCCCUGCUUUUGUGGGGUGCUCGAGUGGCGAACGGGUGAGUAACACGUGAGUAACCUGCCCUUGACUUUGGGAUAACUUCAGGAAACUGGGGCUAAUACCGGAUAGGAGCUCCUGCUGCAUGGUGGGGGUUGGAAAGUUUCGGCGGUUGGGGAUGGACUCGCGGCUUAUCAGCUUGUUGGUGGGGUAGUGGCUUACCAAGGCUUUGACGGGUAGCCGGCCUGAGAGGGUGACCGGCCACAUUGGGUCUGAGCUGCGGCCCAGACUCCUACGGGAGGCAGCAGUGGGGAAUAUUGCACAAUGGGCGGAAGCCUGAUGCAGCAACGCCGCGUGCGGGAUGACGGCCUUCGGGUUGUAAACCGCUUUCGCCUGUGACGAAGCGUGAGUGACGGUAAUGGGUAAAGAAGCACCGGCUAACUACGUG
rnacentral:rRNA from 1 species